rnacentral:rRNA from 1 species
GAUGAACGCUGGCGGCGUGCCUAAUACAUGCAAGUCGAGUGAAUGGAUUAAGAGCUUGCUCUUAUGAAGUUAGCGGCGGACGGGUGAGUAACACGUGGGUAACCUGCCCAUAAGACUGGGAUAACUCCGGGAAACCGGGGCUAAUACCGGAUAACAUUUUGAACCGCAUGGUUCGAAAUUGAAAGGCGGCUUCGGCUGUCACUUAUGGAUGGACCCGCGUCGCAUUAGCUAGUUGGUGAGGUAACGGCUCACCAAGGCAACGAUGCGUAGCCGACCUGGGAGGGUGAUCGGCCACACUGGGACUGAGACACGGCCCAGACUCCUACGGGAGGCAGCAGUAGGGAAUCUUCCGCAAUGGACGAAAGUCUGACGGAGCAACGCCGCGUGAGUGAUGAAGGCUUUCGGGUCGUAAAACUCUGUUGUUAGGGAAGAACAAGUGCUAGUUGAAUAAGCUGGCACCUUGACGGUACCUAACCAGAAAGCCACGGCUAACUACGCGCCAGCCGCCGCAGUAA